rnacentral:lncRNA from 1 species
CAUAAUCCUCUUUGGAAUCUAUGUUUCUGUCAUUACAAUGCCAACCAGAUAAACUGUCCUGAGUCUGAGACCCACCUGGGAGAGAGCUUCCUUGCCGUGCAGGGAUAGGGCACUAAGCAAGGCACUGAGCAGGAGACUUGUCCUCUAGACUCGGCCUUUUACUGCUGCUCUCCACAAAGCCUCUCCCUGCAACUCGGGGACCAUUUCAUGAUGGAAACAUGUACAUGUUUAUAAUACACAGGUUGGAAGAAGGUAGGAAAUUGAAUUAGCAGGUCAAGAGAGUUGGGAGAAGCUAUACUGGCAUUAAC